rnacentral:rRNA from 1 species
GAAGGGUGUAGAUGUUGAUCGGGGUAGGCAAAUCCGCUCCGAGAGUCGAACCUGAUAGUAUGGAGCGUUCUUCGGAACAGUCCAAUAGUGCAUGUAAACAUACUCCCAAGAAAAUCCGCUAAACUUAAUCUUUAAGGUACCCGUACCGCAAACGGACACACGUAGUCGGGUUGAAUAUACUAAGGCGCUUGAGUGAUUCACGGUUAAGGAACUAGGCAAAUUGACCCUGUAACUUCGGGAUAAAGGGUCCCCACUGUAAGGUGGGGCGCAGAGAAUCGGUCCAGGCAACUGUUUAACAAAAACACAGGGCUGUGCAAAAUUGAAAGAUGAAGUAUACAGCCUGACACCUGCCCGGUGCUGGAAGGUUAAGAGGAGAUGUCAUCGCAAGAGAAGCAUUGAAUUGAAGCCCCAGUAAACGGCGGCCGUAACAAUAACGGUCCUAAGGUAGCGAAAUUCCUUGUCGGGUAAGUUCCGACCUGCACGAAUGGUGUAAUGAUCUGGACACUGUCUCAACCGUGAGCUCAGUGAAAUUGUAGUAUCGGUGAAGAUGCCGAUUACCCGCGAUGGGACGAAAAGACCCCGUGAACCUUUACUAUAGCUUAACAUUGAAUUUGGGUAAUUGAUGUGUAGGAUAGGCCGGAGGCUUUGAAGCAGGUACGCCAGUAUUUGUGGAGCCCCUGUUGAAAUACGGCCCUUUGGUUAUUUGAGUUCUAACUCGUGAUACGAGGACACUGUUUGGUGGGUAGUUUGACUGGGGUGGUCGCCUCCAAAAACGUAACGGAGGCUUCUAAAGGUGCCCUCACGACGAUUGGUAUCCGUCGGCAGAGUGUAAUGGCAUAAGGGCGCUUGACUGGGAGACUAACAAGUCGAUCAGGUAGGAAACUAGAGCAUAGUGAUCCGGUGUUUCUGUAUGGAAAGGACAUCGCUCAAAGGAUAAAAGGUACUCCGGCGAUAACAGGCUGAUCCCUCCCAAGAGCUCAUAUCGACGGAGGGGUUUGGCACCUCGAUGUCGGCUCGUCACAUCCUGGGGCUGGAGAAGGUCCCAAGGGUUGGGCUGUUCGCCCAUUAAAGUGGCACGCGAGCUGGGUUCAGAACGUCGUGGGACAGUUCGGUCUCUAUCUAUCGUGGGCGUAUGAAAUUUGCGUGGCUCUGACACUAGUACGAGAGGACCGUGUUGGACUGACCUCUGGUUUACCAGUUGUGUCGCCAGGUGCAUUGCUGGGUAUCUAAGUCGGGAUUGGAUAAGUGCUGAAAGCAUCUAAGUACGAAGCCAGCCACAAGAUUAGAUUUCUUAGGGUCGUCAAAGACGAUGACGUUGAUAGGAUGCAGGUAUAUAGGUGGUAACAUCAUAGCCGAGCAUUACUAAUUGCCC